rnacentral:rRNA from 1 species
GAUGAACGCUGGCGGCGUGCUUAACACAUGCAAGUCGAACGGUGAAGGCGGAGCUUGCUCUGCUGGAUCAGUGGCGAACGGGUGAGUAACACGUGAGCAAUCUGCCCCUGACUCUGGGAUAAGCGCUGGAAACGGCGUCUAAUACUGGAUACGAGCUGCGAAGGCAUCUUCAGCAGCUGGAAAGAAUUUCGGUCAGGGAUGAGCUCGCGGCCUAUCAGCUUGUUGGUGGGGUAAUGGCUCACCAAGGCGUCGACGGGUAGCCGGCCUGAGAGGGUGACCGGCCACACUGGGACUGAGACACGGCCCAGACUCCUACGGGAGGCAGCAGUGGGGAAUAUUGCACAAUGGGCGAAAGCCUGAUGCAGCAACGCCGCGUGAGGGACGACGGCCUUCGGGUUGUAAACCUCUUUUAGCAGGGAAGAAGCGAAAGUGACGGUACCUGCAGAAAAAGCGCCGGCUAACUACGUG